CACGUAGGCGGCCCGUUAAGUCAGAUGUGAAACCCCUGGGCUCAACCUGGGACUGGCAUUUGAUACUGGCGAGCUCGAGUCCGAUAGAGGGGGGUGGAAUUCCAGGUGUAGCGGUGAAAUGCGUAGAUAUCUGGAGGAACACCGGUGGCGAAGGCGGCCCCCUGGAUCGACACUGACGCUGAGGUACGAAAGCAUGGGGAGCAAACAGGAUUAGAUACCCUGGUAGUCC
rnacentral:rRNA from 1 species